UCUCUCCACCUUUUCUCUUUAGCUAUAUAUGUAUAUGUACUCCUAAUUAGCUAGCUCAAUGGAUUGAACUCUAGCUCUGUUCUCCGAUCCAUUUUUUGUCUACCACUCACAUUAUUAUAUAAAAUGCUUAUUAUGUGUUAUUGUCAGUGAUAUAAAUGAUAUGAUCCAUCAUGCCUCCUCUUCAUGAACGAAAUCCAUGACGCAAUUUCCCUUAUUGAAGGACGCAAUUGAGUUAUUCAAGGCAAAUAAUUAAAAGUCAUACAUUUUUAAUGAGGCAUAAUAAAUGCCAGAGUAGAUUCUCUGCUAUCCACGUCAUUAAUAAAUGAAUAAUUAAGGGCAUUUUUUCCCGUCGUUAAGGAGAUUUUUUUCCUCGUAACAACAGUAGUCCUUGAAUUGGUUCUAUGAUAUUCAACAAGUGUGUGUUUAUUAACAAAAAAUAUAGUACGAUCCUAAUUUAGAGUAGAAACUCCUUAUUUCUCCCCCAUAUUGACGAAACCUGGUCAUUAUCUUUGGGUCAUAAUAUCCUCUCUUAUCGAUUGAUUCAAUUAUUAAAGUUUUAAAAAGUCUGCCAAGUCUUUCGCCAUGCGACAAUUGGAGUCAAGAAAAGGUGGAGGAGGAGACAAGUUGUUUGAUAAUUACUGGAAGCAAUUGACAAGGGAUGCAUCAGUUAUAGAACGAGCUCCAUCGAAAAAUUCUAGUAGGAUAAUCCAUCCAGACUAUGACAAUGAUGAAUCAGGCCUAUAUCGUGCAAAGUCAGUGAAUCCUGAAACACGUGGAGCGAAAGAAAUCAACGAUACCUCUCAGACUAAAAUAAACACUCCGAUCGAACUCAUGCUUUCAAGAAUGAUUGAGGAACGUAUAUAUGUUGCUUAAGCCUUAAAACUAUAGACAGUGUGGAAAAAAGAAAUCCAUUAAUAUUCCAAAAGAUGACUUUAGUAACGUGCAUAUCUCGAUGUAUAAGUGCGAUUAGUUUACCAUAUAAUACUAGACCCCUGU
rnacentral:misc_RNA from 1 species